rnacentral:lncRNA from 1 species
GUCACAAAAUGUCAAAAAGCAUAUGAUUCCCCUUAUAUAAGGUACUCAGAGUGCUCAAAUUCAGAGGCAGAAAUUAGAAUGGUGGCCUCUGUGAGCUGCAAGGAGGGGAAAAAGGGAAGUCGUUGGAUGGGUAUGGAGUUUUACAUGAAAGCAUUGUGGAGAUCAGAAGAGCACACCUCUACACUCCAGCCUGGGUGACAGAGCAAGACUCCAUCUCAAAAAAAAAGGAAAGGGGUGUGCCUCUUCCUCUCUCUCCCUUGACUCUGGGCUUGAAUGUGGUCAUCGUGGAUUUUCUCUGAUCAUGUAGGCAAACACAGAAAUUGCAGCGCAACAAAGUAGAAGGAGCUUGAGUUCCCAUCUUCUCUUCUCAAUCUUGGAACACUUGAACUAAGAGAGCAUUUCUAUCUAGUUCAACUUCCUAUCUGGUUAAAAUUCCCAUUUAUUAAGCCAUGUUUGGAUCUUUGUUAGACUUGUUGUCCUAACUUAUUAAAUAAUAGUGAUACCUCCAAAUAGUGGUCUUCCAGAGGUCAUCACUGAGCCCUCUCUUUCCCUUAUGUUCAGUAACUUGCUGCCUUAAUGCCUCUCACCUUCCCCCUCUCUUCAUUCUCACUGCCA